rnacentral:tRNA from 1 species
GUUGUGGCUCAGUGGUAGAGCACUUGCCUAGCAUGUGUGAGGCCCUGGGUUCGAUUCUCAGCACAACA